AAGUCGUAACAAGGUUUCCGUAGGUGAACCUGCGGAAGGAUCAUUAACACGUUUUUAACGUUCCAAAGUCUGUGGACUGAAGUUCUCCCCGCAUGAACGUCGCUGUUCGGAUAGGGCUGGGAUGUGCGGCUUAUACCUGAGUAAUUGACCUGGCAACAGUUGACUCUGAAAGGGUAUUGAGUUCGUGGCACCUACGAGCACUGGGUUCGACCCAGAAGCGACCUCAAUAGGGAUAAACCGAGCCUUUGCAUCACGGGCUCAACCACUUUUCAAACCAACUCAAUGACAUUUGACUGAUAAAAACCUUUGAAUGGGAAACCAUUUGAUUGUAGACCAUAGUUAUACAAACUAAGUACAACUCUUAGCAAUGGAUAUCUUGGUUCCC
rnacentral:misc_RNA from 1 species